ensembl:lncRNA LINC02180 long intergenic non-protein coding RNA 2180
GGUCUUGAACACUGCUGGAAGCCUACUAGAUAUUUAAUGUAAUCACCAUGAUAAUGGCUAAGAUUUAUUAAGCAUCUGCUAUGUGCUUUAUGGUGCUAAGAACUUCUCAUGUAUUUACUCAUUGAAUCUUCACAAAAACCUUAUGAACAUCAGAGCUGAUGAAUACUCAGUCAGAAGAAAUGCAGGCCUGCAGGUUUGUCCACAAAGUGUUCCCAUCAACCGUGUGAAAAUGCGCUCGGCGAAGCAUAGCUCCCUGGAGCAAGUUAGUGAAUAUUAAUGUUUAGCACAUUAUAAGGCUCUACAAGUACUCUGAUGUUGGAGGCCAAGGGGGAGAUAAACGAGCAAGGUUUCAGGAAAUCAUAUAAAUAUGCAACUCACAGUGCAUAUACACAUAUUUCAGGGGGGAAGACAGCUGUUAUCAACCAGGCUGAAGGUCAAAACGAAAAUUCUUUUGCAUAUCUCUUGGUGGGUAAAAGGCCAGACUGGGGACCUUGAGACCCAGGGACAAUGCCCAGCUCUGAAUAGGACAUCGGUGGUAUUUCAGUGAGCUAGCUCACAUCUUCACUUCUGUUCCUCCAUCCAUAAAAUGAGGAUAUGAAUAUUUCAGGACGGCUCUCUCAAAUGUUACUGUCUAUAUGAAUCCACCUUGGGAUAUUAGUAAAAUGAGUUUCUGAUACAGAAGAUCUAGAAAGCGCCUGAAAUGCUGAUAUUCUGUCUCCCAGGUGGAGGAGUUCAGCUAUUACCUUGACUUUGCCGAAGUCCUAGGCACUCCCAUGCCCUCAGAGUCUCAUUUUGAAUCCAGGCACUUAGGGAUGCUAUUUUUCCACAUCAAACAGCUUCCUCCCAGCCAAAGAAUUCUGGUGACAGUAGUGAAGAUAAUUUUCACUCCUGCUUACAGAAUGACAAAGCAAAAGCAAAGAGGAGAAGAAUGAAGUAAAGACAACCAAAGGAAAAGACUGAUGGCUCCUUAAGAAUGAUCUUGAUAAAGGAAUGGUGGCUGAGGGGUCCAUCUCCUAAACCACCCACCUUACUGACUCCCUAGAGCAAUGCCAUACAGAAAGCUGCACCUUGAGGGGAAGACACAAGAAUCCUGGAGUGGAAAAAAAUUGGGUAAUGAUGACAGCCUUCGAGGUCUUGAGAGUAAAGCAGAAGCAAAAAAAAAGUGUUAUUUUUAUCUUUUGAAGAUGGUUCCCUCUUAAGACUUUUGCGAAUGAUUAAGAUUUCAAUUAUGUUCCAGGAAAAAAAUAAGAUUUUUGCUUGACAAAAAAAAUUUUUGUCUAGAACAGGUGGGAAGGAAGAGAUAGUUUAGCCACAUCCAAGAGACCUGUAAAUUGGGUACAGUGAAGUGAAUGGUGUACCAGUCAUAAAAGAAUGUUAACUGGAGAAGUCUCUGCUGUCUUCCUGUAACUGAGGGGGGUGUAACCAUCCUUGUGGAAGCGUCCACUUUUAUUGAAGAUUGGCUAAAUAAAUCUGUGCCUACUGAAACUCAA